rnacentral:lncRNA from 1 species
AGACAGGGAGCGCCAAACACCAAAAUUUCUCGGUUCUUAGUGGUUUAGUUUCUGAAAAAAGACCCUCUAGAUUCCCUAGGGUUUUUAUUGCUACAAAGAAAAUCCAAAGUAUAAGAGAAAAAAAAAAAAAAAAAAACAAACAAACAAAAACGGCUGGGCAACACAACUAUUUGCAGGUUCGUCUCUCUCUCUUUCUCUCUUUCUCUCACAUCUUCGACCUAACAAUCUUUAAUUUCUCUCCCCCUCUCUCUAAAUCAUUAUCCCUCUUCUCUAUAAUCUUCAUGAAUAUGCAAAAAAAAUUUAUUUAUUUUUCUCAAUUGUAACAUUUGUUCCCUUGUAUCUGUGUUUUAGAGAAGAUUUGUGUGCCUGUGGUCAUUAAAGGGUAGCAAGAGGAGAAAAAACAGGUAAUUUUCGAUAAUUAGAAUCGUUAUUAGUUUAGGGUUGUAAGAGGAGAUAAUCUAAUUUGUGCAGUAAAACUUUUUUUGCUUGAGAUUGUAGUAUAAUUAGGAUAAUUAUGUUAAUUCCAACUCAUUCCAUUAAAAUAUUUUUUUGGUUGAGAUCGUAAUUUUUGGUGUCUGGAAUGGAACUCCUUUAUAUAUGCCCACUUUGCAAAAAAUAAAAUCUAUGUUAAUAAUAAACACCAUUGAUAUCAGAUCGAAUUGCAUCCAUACCUACUCCAUGUUAAGCAUAGUGCUGAAGUUGCCCAAUAUGUAUAAACCUCCUUACAACCAAACUGUCAUAAGAACUAGUUAAGUCAUACAUAUUUAUUCAGAUUAAUAGCCAGCAUGUUGUUUCUCUAUGCCUUAGCUACAAUGUUUGAGAUAUUGGACUCACGGUCAUUGAUUAGAUAACCAAUCUCCAUAUCAAAUUUUCUACUCUCAUGAACACUUUAAUGUACAGAGUCACAAUUCAUUUUAUCUCUGUUUCGAUGUGUAGUUGUGGGACCUGGAAGUGGAUCAAGGUCGAGGUCAAGGUCGAAUUCACGAUCUGUAUCAUCUGAGCAGGGCUCAAAUACUGGUGGUAUAAGAUCAUUUUUUGUUAAUAGUAAUCAUUGCAGAAUUUUAUUAAAGUUAAUUAAAUUAAUUUUUUUUAUCUUUGAACAGCAUCUUCCGAACCUCCUCGUCGUAGAGGCAAGGCGCUGAAUGAGCAACUCAAUGACCUCAUAAAGUGGGGUAUGAUAAAACCAAAGAUAGAAUUCAAACCAGGUUUAGCAAGACCAUGGAGUAGAUAAAUUCUAUAAAAGAAUCUUGGUAAAGAAUGUUUUGUUUAUAUUGUUUACAUACUAAUUUCAUAAAAGGGUCUUUCUAAAGACCCCCAAUAACCAAUCCUCGCAUGAAUUGCUACUUAACAUCUUAAUUAUUAAUUUAUUUUGAUAUUUCUAUUUCUAUUUGUGAAGGUAAAGUUCGAUGUAAACUUUGCUGAUCCUUCUGUUCGAAAGAUUGUCGACAAACA